CAGAGCCAGGAGUUCAUCUUCCCAAGUUCAAAACCAGCUUCAGACAUUUCCUAGCUGUGUGACUCUGGGCAAGUCACACACCCUGUUUGUCUCAUUUGUAAAAUGACCUGGAGUAGAAAAUGAUAAAUCACUCCAGUUAUAUAAAAAAAAGAAACAAACAAACAAAAAAAAAAAAGAUGAGGUCACAAAGAACUGAACUUCUAAACAGCAGCAAUGAACUUUAAUGAAGACAGCCAGCAAGAAAGCCUUCAGGCAAGGAUGACUACUUUGCUCUUUCAGCCCAGCCAACGAUCUGCUGGCUCAAAGAUUCCUUUGAAUCUGAAUCUUUGCAAACCCCCUUUAUCAGGCUUUAUUCUCUACAGUCAUUCCCAACUUUAUCCGGCAAGAUGUCUGCUCCGGAGGAACCUAGUCUCUCCCGACGCUCCCGGUUGGCCUGAAAAUAAAAAAGGGCACUAGAGCAAAGGGGCAAGUCAACAGGACCCUUGACGUGGCUCCUUCAUUCCACGUUUUUUAUUGUGCAGACCUGCCAGCAACAACAUUCCUGGUUCUUGUGCAAUAUUUUGUUAGCGACAGUCACCCUUCCUAAUUGUCUUUCUCAAAUUUCAUCCCAUUAGAUUCCGCUGGACUUUCUCUCCUGUCAAGAUCUUUCGAGAUUAUCGCCAUCUUCGCGGAAGCUGUCCAGAACACCAUCAAAAUGGAUUCCUUUUGGAGAGACAGGUCCUUCAGAGACUUAUGUUCCAAGUGACCUUGCACUGAUUUCAUUGAACCCUAUCACACCUCAGGGCCUCUGAAAUGACAGCCACCCUCAUUUACCAGAGUUGGGCCUCUCUAGCCACUCAGGAAAAAUGAAGUGGGUGAAAAAUGCUUCUCACUCAGACUCUCUGGCAUGUUCAGGUCAAAUGAGACAGUGUGUGAGACCUUUUGCAAACCUUAAAAUGUUCUUUAAAUAUUAUCAUCAAAAAGAUCGCAUUUCUUUUUUCUGGUACAGCAUGACAAAUGUGGAAAUAUGUAUAGAAGAAUGGCACAUGUUUAACAUAUAUUGGAUGAUUUGCUGUCUGGGGGAGGGAAAGGAGGCAGAAAAACUUGGAACACAAGGUUUUACAAAGGUGAAUGUUGAAAACAAUCUUUGCUAGGAAAAUAGGGGAAUGGGAUGUGAUGGGGGAGGGUGAAAAAAAGAGGGCAUAUUGCAAGGAAGGAGAGUUCAGGAGCAAAACAGUUUUGAGGAAGGAUAGAGGGAGAGAGAGAAUAAGUGGGGGAAAUAUAAUUAACAAUGGUAAUUGUUUUAAAAAAAUUCAAAGUAAGUGUCUCUGAUGGAAUAUUAUUGUUCUCUGGGAAAUGAUGAGCAGGAUGCUUUCAGGAAAAAAAAACAACCACCUGGAAAGUCCUCCACGAACAGAAUGAGAUAUACUGUAUACAAAGUAAUAGCAAUGUCCUGGGAUGACCAGCUGUUAAGUGACUUUGUUAUUCUCAGUAGUACAGUCAUCAACACCUCCUUUGAAGGACCCAUGAUGAAAAAGGUUCCCAUACCUAGGGAAGGAACUGAUUGUAUCUGAAUACAGAUCGAAGCAUUCUCUAUCACUCUCUCAAUCUCUCUAUUUUUAACUUCAUUUUUCUUGAGAGUUUUUAUUUCCAUUAGGGUGGGAGAUCUUUCACAACUUGAUUUUUAUGGAAAUGUUUUGGAUAAUUUCACAUGUGUUAGCAAUACCACAAAGACAAAACAGUGCACACGCGUUUAUUUAAUGCUUACUAUAUUUCAGGCACAAUAGGAAAUAGUGUAGAUAUAAAGACAGAUAAAUUCGCAUGCACAUAUUGGCCUUUCUCUCUAUACACACGUGUGUAUGAUGGGGGAACCCUGAAACUGUCCUCCUUGAAACUGUCCUUCUUGACCUUUGGGGUGAGCCCUGAAACUCUGACAGGAACCCAUCCUUCAGAACAGUUAAGUGAUUUCAUUAAGAUUGGCCCAGGACCCUCUCCCUACUUAGCUCCAACUUAAGUGGUCUCAUUUAGCUGGAGACCUAGAUUUCUAUGGACCCCUGUUGAGCUGAAAAUUGUCUCAGGACCACUCCUGGUAAGUGGUCUCAUCUAGGCCUGGGAGCAGUGAUAGCAUUGAGGGAAUCUCAUUCAAUUGAAACCUCAGUUUCAGAUUCCUUAUAAAAAAAGGCAACUUGGCAUUCAUUUCUUGGCAGAGGCCCCAAAGCAGGACCAUGCCUUGUCAAGGAACCUCUCUCUCUCUCCUUGGCAUAGCUUCCUGCCAGGACCCUGCCCACUGUGAAGAGACCCCCUCUUCUCAAUGUUAACACCCCUCUUUAUCUCUCUCUGCCAGAGAUUCCUCUGCUGCACCUUUACUCCUCUGUCGGGACCUUGCCACUGAGAAAGUCAGCCUCCUAGCAAAAGCUGACUUCUCAGUGCCAAUAAAGUCUUUUUGCCAGUCUAACUGUUCAGGUUUGGGAAUUCUUUCAUGUUGGACCUGUGCCGACCAGAAGGGGUUCCCACAACUCUCUGACUGCCACUAAUCAAAUCAUGUACACACACACACACACACACACACAUUCCUUAUUCUCAAGAAAUUCAUAUUUUAAUGGAGAAGAAAAUAAGUGGAAACAUAUAAGGGAUAUACAUAGCAGAUAGAAAGAAAUCUGAAAGGGAAAGUGAUUAGCAGUUGGGGAGGCAGAAAGGCCUCUUUAAAAAAGGGAGGUUUUGGUUGAAUCUUGAAGGAAGCUAAGGUAACAGAGGUAUAGGAAUGGAGGGAGAUUAUUCCAGACAUGGUGAUGAGAUUAGUGGCAGUCGGAGAGUUGUUAAAAUUCCCUUAGGUUUGGUGCACAGGUUCUUCAUGAAAGAAUUCAUGAAACCCAAAAUAUUAAUGGCAAAAAUGGAUGUUUAUUGUUGGAUAGGUAGCCGAUUUUGCUAAGAGAUUGACUUCUUUAGUUGUAAAUUCUGGGCUAACUCCCUGAAGGCCUCAGGAUCAGCCAGAGUGCACAGGACAAGCAAAAGUCCUUGGUCUUUAGGAGUAGAAGUGAAGGAGAUGGACAAAACUUCCAGGAGUUUUGCCAAGGAGCCUUCCUUGAUUCUAGAGUCCAGAAUCUCCACACUUUUCUCCUCCUAGCCCUGAGGCCAAGUAAUGUUCUCUGCCUCUCUCACUUCACUCCCUAAUCCUUCCCUACAAUUAUCUUAACCCCAAGCAUUGAGCCAGCAUUUACUAAGAGAAGAGAAAUUCUCAACAUAUGCUAAUAGAGUUAUUGUCCAAUAGGUAAUUAGCCUUAAGCCCUCAGUUGUCUGAUUCAAGCACCUCUUUUAAGAGUUUCCACCCUCUACAUCUCCCGCUUUCUUUUGUUUUAGAACACUGGUGGUCACGCCAUCCCUGACUUCUCAGGAAAGGAGGUGAAAACACCAAAAAGGUAAUCACACACACCCCUCCCAGUUCUCAGGAAGGGAGAUGAAAGCACUAAAAAGAAGAUGAUCACACCCUCCCUGACUUCUCAGGAAGAGAGAUGAAAAAUACCAAAGAGAAGUGAUUUAAGGGAGCCGAGUUGGCUCUGCCUCUAGCAGACUUACUCCAAACCACACAACCAUGUCAGAUACUGGAUCAGCUUUUCCGUGUACCUUUAUUGGACAAGGUAGCAGUCAGAUACUGGAUCAGCUUUCGCCGUGUACCUUUAUUGGACAAGGUAGCAGUCAGAUACUGGAUCAGCUUUCGCCGUGUACCUUUAUUGGACAAGGUAGCAGUCAGAUACUGGACCAGCUUUCGCCGUGUACCUUUAUUGGACAAGGUAGCAGUCAGAUACUGGAUCAGCUUUUGCCGUGUACCUUUAUUGGACAAGAUAGAAGUCAGAUACUCGAUCAGCUUUUGCCGUGUACCUUUAUUGGACAAGGUAAUGGAGAACAUGGGCAUUGAGGCAGGUACCAUUUUUGCCUUCCUUCAGUGCCUGGUUAUGCCUGAUUAUACAGUAGGUGCUUAAUAAAUGUUGAGUUGAUUUGACUCUUAGCUCUUUGAGACCUCCAAGCCCAAGCUCAUUUGGGGAUUGGAUAAGAAUCACAGAGAGGGAUUUUUUCAAAGCCACACAGAAAGUAGGAGAUGUGGCCACCUAAGUCCUUACUACACUGGGUGCAGCCCAGGGCGGUGGCUCCUGGUUCCCAGGUGGAGAUAAAGGCAAAAUGCCAAUGGCAAAGCAUGCAUAGAAGGUUAUUACUACUCAUUAGAUUUAAUUUUAAAAAAGGAAAACAAUCAAUCGUUCAUCAUCUUACUCAUUCUUGACACGUCUGAUUGGAUUCACAACAAAAGAUGAAGACCUCACAAACCUACCCCCUGGUAGAGCAGAGCAAAGGGACUUGGGCGACAGAGACGUCAAGAACUAAGCCGAACUGAGGCCGGCCUGGCCCUUGGAGACCUGGUGAAAUCAGGAGUCUGUGAGCCACAUCAAUUACUUGACCAAAGUCACGGAGCUGGUCUACGGGCCCAGUAUUUGAAUCCUAGUGUCCUCGGUUUAGAGGCCAGUGCCCUUGCCCUGCGCUUUCGCAGUGUGGGGCCUUAAGACUUUUAUGCCAGAGCACUCUGCUAGUUUGUUCAAGCUCUGGUUUAAUCCUCAGCCCAAUCCUUCAUCCAGGGAUAAAUGAAAAGGAUCCGAUUUCUUAAAAUGUCUGCAAGAAACUCCUCAGUCUUUACCAAUAAAUCCUUCCUUUAUUAAAUAGAGAUUAUCUUACAUUUCAUUUAAAAAGGGGAGUUAGAAGUGAGCCAGCAGGAGAUCUGUGUCCGCAACAGCCCCGGAUCACGAGGGCCAGGUGGGGAGAGGGGGGUCCCUUGGGAGGAAAAAGAUCCUUCAAAGGACCCCUGGGCUAUAGUUACUCCUUCAGGGACUCCCAAGAUGUCCCUACCACCACCCAGACCCAUCCCCUGAAGGGGAUGAUAGUGUCCCACCCACGGACUGACGCCAGGAACACGGGGCCAGUGCACUGGUAUAGCCCUCCUCACCCUUCCAUAUCCGAGGCAGCCGCCAUUCUGCCAGAGACGAGGGCUCUCGGUCCCCAGCUCCUGGGGAGAGGCACUUCGGAGGCAGGAAAUGGGCCUCCUUCCCCCCGCGAGCCUCCUCUGCCUGGUUGGUAGGGUCCCCUGGACAGACUGGGACAGGUGGGAAGCCUCGGAGCUCAAGCUGUGAGGGCCCAACUGUCUCUGGGGUGAUGGGGGCAGGGAAUUACAGGAAUAGGAGAUGGUACUGACGCUGGGAGAUUAUCCGGGAAACCCAUUUUAAUCGUUGCAACAGGUGGCCACCCGCCUCCCGGCUGGAGGUGGAGGGGGUUGGAAGCUAGGUGGCCCAGGAUGCCAAUGGAAAGGGGGGCAGGGCUUGAAGCUAGGGGUCCCAAUGGAAAGGGGGCAGAAUAUAAAGCUAGGAAGUCCCAGGAUGCCAAUGAAAAGGGGGGAGGGGGCGGCUUUGAGGCUAAGGAUCCCAGGAUGCAAAUGGAAAGGGGAGCAGGAUUUGAAGCUAGGGGUCCAAUAAAAAGGGGGGAAUGGUUUGAAGCUAAGGAUCCCAGGAUGCCAAUAAAAAGGGGGGAGCAGGUUUGAAGCUAGGAAUCC